rnacentral:rRNA from 1 species
ACGGGUGAGUAAUACAUCGGAACGUGCCCAGUCGUGGGGGAUAACGUAGCGAAAGCUACGCUAAUACCGCAUACGAUCUGUGGAUGAAAGCGGGGGAUCGCAAGACCUCGCGCGAUUGGAGCGGCCGAUGUCAGAUUAGGUAGUUGGUGGGGUAAAGGCUCACCAAGCCGACGAUCUGUAGCUGGUCUGAGAGGACGACCAGCCACACUGGGACUGAGACACGGCCCAGACUCCUACGGGAGGCAGCAGUGGGGAAUUUUGGACAAUGGGCGCAAGCCUGAUCCAGCAAUGCCGCGUGCAGGAUGAAGGCCUUCGGGUUGUAAACUGCUUUUGUACGGAACGAAACGGUCUUUUCUAAUACAGAGGGCUAAUGACGGUACCGUAAGAAUAAGCACCGGCUAACUACGUGCCAGCAGCCGCGGUAAUACGUAGGGUGCGAGCGUUAAUCGGAAUUACUGGGCGUAAAGCGUGCGCAGGCGGUUAUGUAAGACAGAUGUGAAAUCCCCGGGCUCAACCUGGGACCUGCAUUUGUGACUGCAUAGCUAGAGUACGGUAGAGGGGGAUGGAAUUCCGCGUGUAGCAGUG